GACGAACCACACAAACGUUAUUCGGAAUCACUGGGCUUAAAGGGUGCGUAGGCUGUGCAGAAAGUUGGGUGUGAAAUACCUCGGCUCAACCGAGGAACUGCGCCCAAAACUACUGUGCUCGAGGAAGACAGAGGUAAGCGGAACUGAGGGUGGAGCGGUGAAAUGCGUUGAUAUCCUCAGGAACACCCGUGGCGAAAGCGGCUUACUGGGUCUUUUCUGACGCUGAUGCACGAAAGCUAGGGGAGCAAACGGG
rnacentral:rRNA from 1 species